GAUGUAUAUGCUGGGGACAAGAAUGCAAUCGUAAGUACUACUUUAACGAAAAUAUCAUCGGAUUGCAUCUAUUAUCUUCACUGGAGCACAUUGUACACUGAGUAAGAAGUUUUGAGCACCUGGAAUAGUCGAACGCUUUUUGCCUGAUCAUACUCUUUCUGACAGCAUUGAGAAUAUAAUGAAACAUACUAACCGCCAUGAAAGACUCUAUAUUCACCGACAGAAGGGCGAUCCUACGAACGACCAAGAUGGAAACGAAAAAAAAACGGGAAACACACU